rnacentral:rRNA from 1 species
ACGGGAGGCAGCAGUGAGGAAUAUUGGUCAAUGGGCGAGAGCUUGAACCAGCCAAGUAGCGUGAAGGAUGAAGGUUCUAUGGGUUGUAAACUUCUUUUGUUCGAGGGUAAAGUGAUCUACGUGUAGGUUAUUGCAAGUAUCGAACGAAUAAGCAUCGGCUAAUUCCGUGCCAGCAGCCGCGGUAAUACGGAGGAUGCGAGCGUUAUCCGGAUUUAUUGGGUUUAAAGGGUGCGUAGGCGGGAUGUUAAGUCAGCGGUUAAAUAGUGUAGCUCAACUAUACGUCGCCGUUGAAACUGGCGUUCUUGAGUGUAAACGAGGUAGGCGGAAUGUGACGUGUAGCGGUGAAAUGCUUAGAUAUGUCACAGAACUCCGAUUGCGAAGGCAGCUUACUAGGAUACAACUGACGCUGAGGCACGAAAGCGUGGGUAUCAAACAGGAUUAGAUACCCUGGUA